rnacentral:rRNA from 1 species
UUCUUAUAGAUUUCAUUAUAAGUAAAACCUGCUCAAUGAAUAAAUUUAAUAGCCGCAAUUUUCUUGUGCUAAGGUAGCAUAAUCAUUUGUUUUUUAAUUUAAAACUAGAAUGAAAGGUUUAACAUUUAAAUUUCUGUAUUUUUAAUAUUUUACAAAAUUAUAUUAAAUAUAAAAAUAUAUUUAUAUAAAAAUUAGACGACAAGACCCUAUUGAACUUAACUAUUGUUAAGCUGGGGCAGCUUUUAAAUUAAAAUUUUCACUAACUUUUUAUAAAUUAUCCAAUAAAAUUGAAAUUUUAUCAAGUUACCAUAGGGAUAACAGCGUAAUUUAUAUUUAAAGUUCUUAUUUAAAUACAAGUUUGCGACCUCGAUGUUGAAUAAAUUUUCUUUAUUUCGCAAUAGAAAUAAAAGUAGGUCUGUUCGACCUUUAAAAAUUUACA